GACAGCAGUCGCCGCGGUAAUACGUAGGGGGCAAGCGUUAUCCGGAUUUACUGGGUGUAAAGGGAGCGCAGACGGCAGUGCAAGUCUGAAGUGAAAGGCGUGGGCUCAACCCAUGAACUGCUUUGGAAACUGUAUAGCUUGAGUGUCGGAGGGGUAAGCGGAAUUCCUAGUGUAGCGGUGAAAUGCGUAGAUAUGCGGAGGAACACCGAUGGCGAAGGCAAUCCCCUGGGCCUGCACUGACGCUCAUGCACGAAAGCGUGGGGAGCAAACAGGAUUAGAUACCCCGGUAGUCCCUGUCUCUUAUAC
rnacentral:rRNA from 1 species